rnacentral:rRNA from 1 species
UACAGAGGUGGCAAGCGUUGUUCGGAAUUACUGGGCGUAAAGGGCGCGUAGGCGGCUUGGUCAGUCCCGUGUGAAAUCCCUCGGCUCAACUGAGGAACUGCACGGGAAACUGCCUGGCUUGAGUUCGGGAGAGGGAAGCGGAAUUCCGGGUGUAGCGGUGAAAUGCGUAGAUAUCCGGAGGAACACCAGCGGCGAAGGCGGCUUUCUGGUCCGAGUACUGACGCUGAGGUGCGAAAGCGUGGGGAGCGAGUCCGG